rnacentral:rRNA from 1 species
UGAAUUGAAUAUUAUAUUAAUAAAUAAAUUAUAGACAUUAUAUAUUAUAGAAAAAAGAAAUAUUUAAAUUAGAAGUAUCUUUAUAAUUAAUUAGAUUAAUUAUAAUUAAAUAAAAAAUAUAUUUUAGUAAAUAAAUAAAUAAUUAUAUUAAGUAUUAAAUAAAGAAUUAAUAUAUUAGAAUAAAAAUUAAAUUAUAAAUUAUAUUAUAUUUAUAUGUCACUAAUAAAGAAAAAGUACUGAAAAGGAAAAUUAAUUAUAUUUAUAUAUAAAUUAAGAUAUUUAUUAUUAUAUUGUAUUAUUUAAGUAUUGUUAUUAUAUAUAAAAUUAUAUUACUAUUGUAUAAGUAUUUAAGUAGAGAAAUAUAUAUAUAGAAUUAACCAUUAUUAAUAUUUAUAUUUAAACUAGAACAUAUAAGAAAUUAAAUAAAAUUUAUUUUUAAAUUUAGAAUAUAAGAAAUUAAUGUUGCAUUAUUAUUUUAUAAUUUUAUUUAAGUAUAGAAAUUAUUAUCGAUUAUAUAACUAUUUAGUUAAAUGAGAAAUAUAUAUUAGUAUAGUCAUUAUUUUAGAAUUAUAUUAUAUAAUUAUUAAUUAGUAUUAAAAUAGAAAUAAUGAAAUAGAUUUAAUUAUAGUGUGUAUAUAAAUCUAAAUAUAUAAAUAUAAAAAUUAAAUUAAAUAUAAAUAAAUAUAUAUAAGUAUUAUAACUAUUAUUAUUAAUUAAUUAAAAUUAAUAUUCUUUCUACAUAUCAAACCUUAUUUAUUAAAAUAGAAUUUAUUAAUUCUUAUCAAAUAUAUAAUUAACCUUAUUAUUAUAUAUAUAUAUAAAUUUUUAUUGUUAUCAUUUAUAAUUAUUUAAAUUAAAAUAAUUAUAUAUAUCUUAUAUUGAGUAAUCAAACCUAAUUAAAUCCUAAUUAAAAUAUAUCUAUCUACAUCUAUAUUAACUUCAAGUUAAAUUAUAUUUAUUAAUGGAAAAAUAAAUAUUAUAAAUAAUUAUAUUUAAGGAACUAGACAAUAAAUAUAUUAAUAUAUUUGUAUAUUAAUAAAUAAAACUAUAUAUAUCAACUGUUUAUCAAAUACAUAAGAUAUAGCUCUAUUAAUUGUAUUAUAUAUGAUUUCUUCUCAAUAAUAUUAUUAUUAAUAUUAAAUAGAAAGUUUAACUAUAAGACUUAUUAAAGUAUAAAUAUAAAUUAAUUGUUUAUAAAUAGAAUGAAAAAAUGAAUAUACUAAUGUCUCAAAUAUAAAUUAUAUGAAAUAAAUAAAUUUGUGAAUAUUCAAAUAUUAUAAAAAAGAAGUAGAGUCCCUAUGAAGUUUUACUAUUAAUAUAUAUAUCAUUUAAUAAAUUAAUAUUAUAAGUUAGUUUAAGUUGGAAACUAUUAUAUAAUAAGAAAAUAUAUAAUAUAAAUAGAUUAUUAAAUAAAUUAAUAAAUAAAUAAUAAUUAUACUAAUAGAGAAAUAUUUAUAAUUAGUUAUAUAUAUGUAUUAUAUAAAGAUCUACAUUAUUAUUAAUAUGUACAUAAAAAAUAUAAAUUACUCUAGGGAUAACAUAAUAAUAUUUGUAUUAAAUAAAUAAAUAUAAAUGUUUAUUAAUCCGUUGUUGGCUUACAUUAAUAAUUAUAUAUAGAAAUAUAAUUAUAUAGAUUGUUCAUCUUAUAAAUCAUGUUCAUUAGCUGAGUUAAUUCCAUUGUAAAAUAGGAAGGAUACUAUCUUUUUAUUAAUUUAAAUUAUAUAUUUUUAAUAUAGUAUGAAAAGAAUUAUUAUUAUAUACCUCUAUUUAUUAAAUUAAAUAAUUAUUAUAUGUAUAAAUAAAUAAAUAAAUAAUGAAUAUAUAUAAAUUAUAUAUUUUUAUAUAAUUUAAUUUCUAUUAUUAGUAAGAAUAACUAAUUAUCUCCUUUAUUA